AGAAAUUUUAAUAAAAACCGAGUUUUUAAACUUUAAACUUUAGAAUGAUUAUGGAUUAUUUUUAGAUUUACACCCGAGUUUUUUCCAUAAAUGAUAACGAGCGUAAGAAGCAAAUAAAUACCGAGCUCGUAGAUGAUAAUGAAAGGGGAUAGUAUAAAUAUAAUAUUCAAUUGAUGCGUAGUAUGUAGUUAAAACUUGAGCAGUUGAUACGUUCAGAAAUUAAAAAAAUUAAUAGUUAUUGAUAUAAUUAUAGUAAAAAAUUUAUUAUUGAAUUGUAAUGAUGUGCAAAUUGUUGGUUGUUAUUUUACUCAUCAUUAUGGCCGUGUCUUUGGUCGCUGCAUCUUGUGGAUAUCAUAAUGAUUAUUGUCAGAAAAAUCGAGAUUGUUGCGAAAGAUUCUGCAACACUGCCCUUCCAAAGCCAGUCUGUGAGGACCAUUGGAACCACAAAAAAGACCAGGGAGAGUAAUAAUCCAUCUAAAAUUCAAUAAAAAGUGAAAUAAAAAUGUAAAACAAAUGUAUUUUUAUUUGUAUGUGUUAUCAUUUGAUUAAAAAUAAAGUAAAAUAAAUAAAAUUA